CGCCCGCCCCCCCCCCUUCGGGGGGGAGGGUUGGCCGAGUGGGAGGGGGGCGAUCGUCCCUACCGCCCCUCCCCCCUGGAUCCGCUAGUGCACUGAAAUACUUUUCCAUUGUUCUUGUUUCGCGCAAUUCCAUGCUUUUAUCGUUCUCACUACGCUAUGAUCCUUCUUCUUGUGAUGUCCAAGGGCUGAGCCGAAGGCUCUUCGAGCCCUAAGUUUUAAAAAAAAACCUGUUUGGUCGUCCAGCCGAACAGUAAAAAAAAAAAAAAAAAC